CACGUAGGGCGCAAGCGUUGUCCGGAAUUAUUGGGCGUAAAGAGCUCGUAGGCGGCCGGUUGCGUCUGCUGUGAAAUCCCGGGGCUUAACCCCGGGCGUGCAGUGGAUACGGGCCGGCUGGAGGCAGGCAGGGGAGAAUGGAAUUCCCGGUGUAGCGGUGAAAUGCGCAGAUAUCGGGAGGAACACCGGUGGCGAAGGCGGUUCUCUGGGCCUUACCUGACACUGAGGAGCGAAAGCGUGGGGAGCGAACAGGAUUAGGAAACCCU
rnacentral:rRNA from 1 species